rnacentral:rRNA from 1 species
GGGGGUGCCCUUAACUUGUUUGGACAUAGCAGUCGAGCGGACCAAAGGGAGCUUGCUCCUAGGAGGUUAGCGGCGAACGGGUGAGUAACACGUGGGCAACCUGCCUGUAAGACUGGGAUAACAUCGAGAAAUCGGUGCUAAUACCGGAUAAUAAAAAGAACUGCAUGGUUCUUUUUUGAAAGAUGGUUUCGGCUAUCACUUACAGAUGGGCCCGCGGCGCAUUAGCUAGUUGGUGAGGUAACGGCUCACCAAGGCGACGAUGCGUAGCCGACCUGAGAGGGUGAUCGGCCACACUGGGACUGAGACACGGCCCAGACUCCUACGGGAGGCAGCAGUAGGGAAUCUUCCGCAAUGGACGAAAGUCUGACGGAGCAACGCCGCGUGAGUGAUGAAGGUUUUCGGAUCGUAAAACUCUGUUGUUAGGGAAGAACAAGUGCCGUUCGAAAGGGCGGCACCUUGACGGUACCUAACGAGAAAGCCACGGCUAACUACGUGCCAGCAGCCGCGGUAAUACGUAGGUGGCAAGCGUUGUCCGGAAUUAUUGGGCGUAAAGCGCGCGCAGGCGGUCUCUUAAGUCUGAUGUGAAAGCCCCCGGCUCAACCGGGGAGGGUCAUUGGAAACUGGGAGACUUGAGUACAGAAGAGGAGAGUGGAAUUCCACGUGUAGCGGUGAAAUGCGUAGAGAUGUGGAGGAACACCAGUGGCGAAUGCGACUCUCUGGUCUGUAACUGACGCUGAGGCGCGAAAGCGUGGGGAGCAAACAGGAUUAGAUACCCUGGUAGUCCACGCCGUAUACGAUGAGUGCUAGGUGUUAGGGGUGUUCGACGCCCUUAGUGCCGGAAGUUAACACAUUAAGCACUCCGCCUGGGGGAGUACGACCAGAAGGGUGGAGACUCAUAGGAAUUGAACGGGGGGCGCGCGCCAGCAGUGUAGCAUGUGGUUUAAUUCGAAGCAACGCGGAGAGACCUUACCAAGUCGUGGACAUGCUUUGACAACCCUAAAGAUAGGGCUUUUCCCCUUCGGGACAAAAUGACCGUGGUGCAUGGUUGUCGUCACCCCUGUCGUGAGAUGUUGGGUUAAGUCCCGCACCAAGCGCACCGUUGACCUUAGUUGCCAGCAUUCACUUUGUCACUCUAAGGUAACUGCCCGUUGACAGCCGCAGGAAGAGUGGGAUGGCGUUCGAUAUCAUCUCAUGCCCCUUAUGCACCUGGCUACACACGCGUGCCUACACAUCGUCGUGUACCGAAGGUUGCCGUACCCGCCGCGGUGAACGCCAUUCGCGGAGAGGCCCUUCGUUGAAUCUCGUAGAUGCGCAUGGCUAUCGUA